UACGGAGGGGGUUAGCGUUGUUCGGAAUGACUGGGCGUAAAGCGCGCGUAGGCGGACCUGCAAGUCGGGGGUGAAAUCCCGGGGCUCAACCCUGGAAUGGCCUUCGAGACUGCCGGUCUGAGUUCGAGAGAGGUGGGUGGAAUUCCGAGUGUAGAGGUGGAAAAUUCGUAGAUAUUCGGAGGAACACCAGUGGCGAAGGCGGCCCACUGGCUCGACACUGACGCUGAGGCGCGAAAGCUAGGGGAGCAAACGGG
rnacentral:rRNA from 1 species